rnacentral:tRNA from 1 species
GCCGAGGUAGCUCAGUUGGUAGAGCGAGGGCCUGAAAAGCCCUGCGUGACCAGUUCGAUUCUGGUCCUCGGCACCA